UACGGGGGGGGGCAAGCGUUGUUCGGAAUUACUGGGCGUAAAGGGCUCGUAGGCGGCCAACUAAGUCGGACGUGAAAUCCCCAGGCUUAACCUGGGAACUGCAUCCGAUACUGGAUGGCUUGAAUCCGGGAGAGGGAUGCAGAAUUCCAGGUGUAGCGGUGAAAUGCGUAGAUAUCAGGAGGAACACCGGUGGCGAAGGCGGGAUCCUGGGCCAGUACUGACGCUGAUGAGCGAAAAGCGUGGGGGAGCAAACAGG
rnacentral:rRNA from 1 species